ensembl:lncRNA
AUUUGGACGGCUACACCAUGUUCAAACGCAACAGACAUGUGUCCUACACAAACUUUCCUCACAUGGCCAGCAGAAGUGGUGGUGGAGUUGUUGUGUAUUUGAGGAAUCAUUUUCAGGUUCAGGUAAAACAGUAUCUGCAUAAUGUCACUGAUCUUGAGUUCUUAGUGUUAAAGGUUCAGGCUCCAUUCCCUGCGCUCAUUGCGGUUGUGUACAGACCUCCUGACUACAGUUUGACACCAUUCAUGCAAAACCUGCCAAUCAUGAAGUCGUCUGAUGUAUUUUUUUCAGACAGGGCACACACAGUCCUGUUUCCUUUGUGGGAAAACCUUCAAACUUCACCAUCCUCAGCUGAAACAACAACAUCUUAACACCAUCUUCAUGAACUGUUGAGCCAAACCUGAUCCAUCAGUGCUGGACUGCACAGAUAACUACAUGCCACAAGGAGACUGCUGUGUUAUGAACUGCCAUACCAGUGUGUCUUCAAUGGAGAAGAUGACACACCCAUCACCUGACCUCCUGCCUGAUCUGGAGACCAUCAUCAUGCUGCCACACUACACACCUCUGAGACCCUCAAUGAUGACUGAUACUGAGGAAACUGUAUUUCCU